GACAGAGGGGGCAAGCGUUGCUCGGAAUUACUGGGCGUAAAGGGCGCGUAGGCGGCAAUUCAAGUCAGCUGUGAAAUCUCCGGGCUUAACUCGGAACGGUCAGCUGAUACUGCUUUGCUAGAGUGCAGAAGGGGCAAUCGGAAUUCUUGGUGUAGCGGUGAAAUGCGUAGAUAUCAAGAGGAACACCUGAGGUGAAGACGGGUUGCUGGGCUGACACUGACGCUGAGGCGCGAAAGCUAGGGUAGCAAACGGG
rnacentral:rRNA from 1 species